rnacentral:lncRNA from 1 species
CAGGGCCGCAGCGGGCGAGGCGCCGACUCGCGGGGCCUCGCGGCCGCCUCCGCUCUCCACUCUCACCUGCCGUCCCCAGCCCACCUGCGCUCGUGGACCCCGCCCCGCAAACCGGCCGACGCCGUCGGUGCCCGCACCCCGGGAAGCAGGAGGUGAGAACCGCCCGGCUCCUGGGCAGGUGCUGCGCAGGGCCCCGCAGGAGCCGGCAGUCUUUGGUGGGAGCACAAGAUGUGAAGACGACACUUGCUUCAGGGGGAUGCACUCUGAGCCAGGGAAAAGCAGGGGAUCCCAGACCCAGCGUCUCGAUGGCUUCUCCCAGGUGACAUUCAUGCUGCACCUGAAAGGAGGUGACUUGGGGGUUCUGGUAGAGUUCUGGACCAAAAAGGAAGCAGAAUGCAGUAGAGUCCUAGAGCCAGAGAGCUCAGUGCACCCGGGGACCUGCCAGUUAUUCAGAAUGAAUGAGCGCAGGAAGUGGUAAAGAGAGACAGAGAGAAAGAGGGGGAGGCUGGGCUGGUGGAAAGCACCACUAAGCACCGCAGUGGCUCACAGGCCCAGCAGAAGCAUCUAACCUUUGUCCUGAGAGCAGGUUUCCCCCAAAGCACAGCUGGGGUGGCAAGGAAGAGGAGUGUAGGCAGCACACAAGCCAACACUUUUUGUUGUUGUUGUUGGUAGUUAGUAGAUUUAAUAUGCAUUUGAAAAAUAUAUGACUCAUGCAUCUGACAUAUCACUUGUCUUAGAUUAUUGCUUAAGGUGAGGCUGAGUGACAAGAAUGAUUCAAUUCACAGGCAAAAUAUUAAAUAUGAUCUAUUAGAGUCGGUACAUGAAUAAUCAUAAAUGACUGAUGUUGGGGAAAACAGCCUAAGACCAAGAGAGUUCCAGGGGAAGAUUUCAUGCAGGGAAGCAACCUGAGCAGACUUCCGAGUUGGAAGGAAGACUCUGGCUGUAGAGAAUGCUAGAGUAGCAUUUGUCAAACCUCCAGUUACAGUCCAGACUCUGAAACCAAGUUUAAAGCUGUAACUGGCAGGGAGUUUCUCAGUGAAAUAUAAUGGGAUCGAAUAAAUAAUAUCACACAGUAUCA